rnacentral:rRNA from 1 species
GCGAACUAACGGACAGGGGCGGGUGUGAUAAGGAGGUCGCGAGGGUUGUCCGGGAUUAUUGGGCGGAAGGAGCUCGUAGGCGGUUGGUUGCGUCGGUGGUGAAAGGCCACGGCUUAAGCGGGGGUCUGCGGGUGAUACGGGCAGACUAGAGGCAGGUAGGGGAGAACGGAAUUCCCGGUGUAGCGGUGAAAUGCGCAGAUAUCGGGAGGAACACCGGUGGCGAAGGCGGUUCUCUGGGCCUGUACUGACGCUGAGGAGCGAAAGCGUGGGGAGCGAACAGGAUUAGAUACCCGUGUAGUC